UAAUAUCUGAACUCCGACCCCAAACUCCCAGAGCUGUUGAAAAGGUUUCAGAGCAGAGAGAAGGAGGAAGUUCAGAUCAUCUCUUCCAUCGAUCAGAUAGAAGUUUAAAGAGGAGCGGCAAAAGCAAAGGAGGUGGAUUAGCAGCUGGGUGUCAUCCAGGGCAGAUUACUGCUGAAUAUAAUCUCCUGCUGUCUGGAUUGUGAGCUGCUAGCAUGUAGCUACACUCAUGAGAGUGACGGUCUUAAGUCGGAGGCUUAUUCCAGAGAACAGGCGCAACAGCGGAGAAAGCUUUAACGCUAACACAAUGCUAACUUUUCCAAAGUGACGUUAGCGACUCUCUGUUAGCUGCUCUUCAUCAUCCGAGACCUCGGAGCAUCCGCUGGUCAGCAGAAGGAGGAAACGUGAUAGCGACAGGUGCAGGCGGCUAAAAUAGGAGCAGAAGAAGAAGAAGGGGGAGCGGCGUGUGAGAAAAAGAGGCGACGGAGAGAUAAUGAGAUAAUAUCGCAUGAGAAGAAGAAGCUGCAACAAAAGCAGAGGCUUUAAAAUGAAAUGUUGCAGA